UGGUCAGUGGAAUUCUGCUGUUUAUGGAAAAUCUGAAGGAACAUCUCCCAGAAUUUACCACCAUGUUGCCCUGAUGAUUAAGGACUUUUUUUGGACUUUCCUGCCUCUUUGGAUCAUUUUUCCAUUCACACAGACUGUAGAGAGAUGGUGUGCAGCUUCAUGACGUGAUGUUUAGUGCCGAUGGAGAGCUUCUGGGACAUUGACAGACAGCACUUCCCAGCAAGUUCAUUUGGAGUUCUUUUUUUUUAUUAAUUAAUUAAUUUAGUCAAGCUUACAUUCACUAAUGCUGGAGUAAGAUUUUAGAAAAUUUUCAGUCCUGUUUAAUGUUGGUGCUAGUAAAGGUUUGAGAACUAAUGGCCUGGUUUCACAGACAGGGCUUAGACUAAGCCAGGAUCAUAGUUCAAUAAGGACAUUUAAAUCAUUUUCUUUGACAUGCCUUAGAAAAAAACAUUACUAGUGUGCUUCUUCAGACAUUUUUAAAGAUCAGUCAGUGCAAGUUUAUAUCAGUUGAAACAGCUCAGAAUUACAUUUUAGUCUUGGGCUGGUUUUAAGCCUUGUCUGUGAAACCUGGUGUACAAGUAACCCACUAUGCUAAUGUUUUAAAAUAAGGUCUCAUUUGUUGGACAUGGAUAGAUAAUAUUCUUUCUUUUUUUAUUGAAUGUGUGUCAUUUGUGUUAGUAAUCCUAUAUGUUAUGGUGACCAGUAAAUUUUGACCUCGUGGACAUUUUUAGGUCCCCAAUGAGGAAACAGGUCUACACAUCUUACAAAAAUGAUGUUUUCCAUGAUGGUCAAAUUAGCAUUGUUCUCUAGACUCGUUCUAAUAAGUGAGUUGAAGUGUUGUAACUGUAUAGUGUUGGGUUUUUUGUUGUGCAUCAGCAAAAAGCAUUUUUGUGUAUUUGUUUGUCAAUUUGUCAAUAAAUGUUGAGGGUUUAC